UCAGAGUGAACGCUGGCGGUAGGCCUAACACAUGCAAGUCGAACGGCAGCACAGGAGAGCUUGCUCUCUGGGUGGCGAGUGGCGGACGGGUGAGGAAUACAUCGGAAUCUACCUUUUCGUGGGGGAUAACGUAGGGAAACUUACGCUAAUACCGCAUACGACCUACGGGUGAAAGUGGGGGACCGCAAGGCCUCACGCGAUUAGAUGAGCCGAUGUCCGAUUAGCUAGUUGGCGGGGUAAUGGCCCACCAAGGCGACGAUCGGUAGCUGGUCUGAGAGGAUGAUCAGCCACACUGGAACUGAGACACGGUCCAGACUCCUACGGGAGGCAGCAGUGGGGAAUAUUGGACAAUGGGCGCAAGCCUGAUCCAGCCAUACCGCGUGGGUGAAGAAGGCCUUCGGGUUGUAAAGCCCCUUUGUUGGGAAAGAAAUCCUAUCGG
rnacentral:rRNA from 1 species